rnacentral:rRNA from 1 species
AUCGAACAAGGUUUCCGUAGGUGAACCUGCGGAAGGAUCAUUAGUGAAUAUAGGACGUCCAACUUAACUUGGAGUCCGAACUCUCACUUUCUAACCCUGUGCACUUGUUUGGGAUAGUAACUCUCGCAAGAGAGCGAACUCCUAUUCACUUAUAAACACAAAGUCUAUGAAUGUAUUAAAUUUUAUAACAAAAUAAAACUUUCAACAACGGAUCUCUUGGCUCUCGCAUCGAUGAAGAACGCAGCGAAAUGCGAUAAGUAAUGUGAAUUGCAGAAUUCAGUGAAUCAUCGAAUCUUUGAACGCACCUUGCGCUCCAUGGUAUUCCGUGGAGCAUGCCUGUUUGAGUGUCAUGAAUACUUCAACCCUCCUCUUUCUUAAUGAUUGAAGAGGUGUUUGGUUUCUGAGCGCUGCUGGCCUUUACGGUCUAGCUCGUUCGUAAUGCAUUAGCAUCCGCAAUCGAACUUCGGAUUGACUUGGCGUAAUAGACUAUUCGCUGAGGAAUUCUAGUCUUCGGACUAGAGCCGGGUUGGGUUAAAGGAAGCUUCUAAUCAGAAUGUCUACAUUUAAGAUUAGAUCUCAAAUCAGGGUAGACACCGGGCG